rnacentral:rRNA from 1 species
CCUACGGGUGGCUGCAGUGGGGAAUAUUGGGCAAUGGGCGCAAGCCUUACCCAGCAAUACCGCGUGAGUGAAGAAGGUCUUCGGAUUGUAAAGCUCUUUGAUCAGGGACGAACAGAUGACGGUACCGGAAGAACCAGCCCCGGCUAACUACGUGCCAGCAGCCGCGGUAAAACGUAGGGGGCGAGCGUUGUCCGGAAUGACUGGGCGUAAAGGGUGCGUAGGCGGAGCGUUAAGUCAGUGGUCAAAUUGAGGGGCUCAACCCCUUCCCGCCAUUGAAACUGGCGCUCUUGAGUGGAUGAGAAGUAUGCGGAAUGCGUGGUGUAGCGGUGAAAUGCAUAGAUAUCACGCAGAACCCCGAUUGCGAAGGCAGCAUGCCGGCUUCCGACUGACGCUGAAGCACGAAAGCGUGGGGAUCGAACAGGAUUAGAUACCCCUGUAGUC